rnacentral:rRNA from 1 species
CAGUCGCCGCGGUAAUACGUAGGGUGCAAGCGUUGUCCGGAAUUAUUGGGCGUAAAGAGCUCGUAGGCGGUUUGUCGCGUCUGCUGUGAAAUCUGGGGGCUCAACUCCCAGCCUGCAGUGGGUACGGGCAGACUAGAGUGCGGUAGGGGAGAUUGGAAUUCCUGGUGUAGCGGUGGAAUGCGCAGAUAUCAGGAGGAACACCGAUGGCGAAGGCAGAUCUCUGGGCCGUAACUGACGCUGAGGAGCGAAAGCAUGGGGAGCGAACAGGAUUAGAUACCCCCGUAGUCCCUGUCUCUUAUAC